rnacentral:rRNA from 1 species
GUUUAUCAAAAACAUCGCUCUUGCUUCUCCAGUAUAAGAGGUCCCGCCUGCCCAGUGACUAUAUGUUAAACGGCCGCGGUAUUCUGACCUCGCCUGUUUAUCAAAAACAUUUUCUUUAGAUAUAUUUUAAAGGUAAUACCUGCUCAAUGAGUAUUAAAUUGCCGCAGUAUUAUCGACUGUGCUAAGGUAGCAUAAUAAUUUGUCUUUUAAAUGGGGACUGGAAUGAAAGGUUUUAUGGGGGUAUGCUAAUGAUUUAAUAAAUCUUUGAAGUUAAGGUUUAAGUUAAAAUUCUUAAGUUUAUUUGAGGGACGAGAAGACCCUGUGGAUCUUUAUUUUGUUUAUAGUAAAUUAUUAUAAAUGUUUUAUUAUCUUAAAAAUUUGAUUGGGACGAUUAUUAUUUUAACAUAAUUUUAAGAAUUUAUUUUGAUCCUUUUGAAGGAAUUAAGAUUAAGUUACCCCAGGGAUAACAGCGUUAUAUUAUUGGAUAGUUCAUAUUGAUAAUAAUGUUUGCGACCUCGAUGUUGAAUUAAAAUUUCYUUUUAAAGCAGAAGUUAAAUUAGUAAGUCUGUUCGACUUUUAAAUUUUUACAUGAUCUGAGUUCCAACCGGAUGUUGGAUCAAGGGCAUCCUAGUGGUGCAGCCGCUACUAAUGGUUCGUUUGUUCAACGAUUAAAGCCCUACAUGAUCUGAGUUCAAACC